rnacentral:misc_RNA from 1 species
GGCGUGCUCCGCAUCCCUUGCCCCGUGCCCCUCUUCCGCGCCGUACUCCGAUCUCUCAUCUCUCAUGACGGUCACAUCAAUUAGGGUUUCUUUUAUCGUCUUCUAGUUGUAUCUCUUCUUUCCUUUUUCUAGCUCCGGUUUCAACCGUGGGCUGUUGUAGUAGGAUUCAGAGAUGUUGAAGAAGGAUAAUUCAGUAAGAAAAUUC